CCUACGGGUGGCAGCAGUGAGGAAUAUUGGGCAAUGGAGGAAAGUCUGAACCAGCAAUGCCGCGUGAAUGAAGAAGGUCUUCGGAUUGUAAAGUUCUUUAGUCCGGGAAGAAUAAAAUGACGGUACCUGAAGAAUAAGCUCCGGCUAACUACGUGCAAGCAGCCGCGGGAAUACGUAGGGAGCAAGCGUUGUUCGGAAUUACUGGGCGUAAAGGGUGCGUAGGCGGUUAUACAAGUGAGACGUGAAAUACCCAGGGCUUAACUCGGGUGCUGCUUCUAAAACUGUAAGACUUGAGUGCAGUAGAGGUUAGUGGAAUGCGUGGUGUAGCGGUGGAAUGCGUAGAUAUUACGAGGAACACCAGAGGCGAAGGCAGCUAACCGGACUGCAACUGACGCUGAGGCACGAAAGUGUGGGGAGCAAACAGGAUUAGAUACCCGGGUAGUC
rnacentral:rRNA from 1 species